CUGGUUGAUCCUGCCAGUGAUCAUAUGCUUGUCUCAAAGCUUAAGCCAUGCAAGUCUAAGUUCAGGCUUGUUCCUUUCGGGGAGCGAGCCGAAACUGCGAACGGCUCAUUAGUCAGAUAAGGUUCCUUGGCUAAAAGCGGGUCGGUUUUAAUGGAUAACUGUGGUAAUUCUAGAGCUAAUACAUGCAACGCACCGUGGUCCCCGUAGUCUUCUCGUCUCGGGGAAACGGCAUUUAUUCUCUGGACCAGAUCGCCCUAGCCUGCGAAGCUACCGUCAAAAGUAGCGACGGGGCGAAGCGACAAGUGUUGAAAUCCGAAUAACUGUGCCGAUCGCGGGGUCUUUCCGGGCCCCCGACGACUUUGCCAUGAAGUGUCUGUCCCAUCAAUUGGCGAUGGUCGGCGACCUGCCUACCACGGUGUUGACGGGUAACGGGGAAUCAGGGUUCGAUUCCGGAGAGGGAGCCUGCGAAACGGCUACCACCUCCAAGGAGGGCAGCAGGCGCGCAACUUACCCAAUCCCGACACGGGGAGGUAGUGACGAANAAUAACGUGGCGGGGCCCUUUCGUGGUCGCCGCGGGCGGAAUGAGCGCAAUUUAAAAGAGUGUGCGAGGAGCUAUUGGAGGGCAAGCCUGGUGCCAGCAGCCGCGGUAAUUCCAGCUCCAAUAGCCUAUAUC
rnacentral:ncRNA from 1 species